ensembl:lincRNA Gm10614 predicted gene 10614
GUCCUCAAGCUGGAGGCUGUGUACUUAUGGCUUCUUGCUCCUUUGCGUCCUGCAGCAGGUUGAGUCCCUCGCCUGAUUCCACUCUUUGAGGGUAAAGGUUUGGAGCCGAGUUUUCACCUGCGCGAAACACAGAUCCAGGAAUAAACUCAUUCAUCUCAAAGUCAGCUCCGGGUCCCCGGACAUGGCUGGCUGGUCCACACAGACGCCAUAUCGAAGGAAGGGUUUUCCCUUUAAUUUUACAGUCUUUGCCCUUUCUACAGAUGAUUUAAAAGCAAUGAAAAUGCGCCUCCCCUAUCUGCUCCAUGCAGAUCCUUCGAGACAGAGCCCAGAAUCAGAACUUUGGCAAACCAAACCUCAGGUGAGACCACAGGGACAAGUUUGCACACGUAUUAUCAUUCUUUUAUUAUUGUUGUUAUUGCAAUUGUGAAGAUGGAACCCCGGUCCUCAAAAAUGAUAAGCACAGCCUCUUCCACUGAGCUAUACCCUGGAGCCUGAUGCCCUCAAGCCUUCUGUACAGAGUGCCUUGGGACCCUGGAAACCUGCCUGCUGCCUAUCUGUAAUGGAAAUUAUCUCUUGCAAACCCUUGUCCCCUUUAUGGGGUUAUGAAUCCAUACAAAUAUUCUCAGAAGAAUCAAGUCAAAGGUCACUGGACGCUGAGUGGCUACCUGGAGCCUCAGUUUCUUCAUUGCCUUUUGAGGAUGGAGGAAAGAAGCUUGAGACACAUUCAGAGGAGAAGCCAUCAGCCACCUGGACCAUGCCAAAACAGAAGCUGCCUCCCGCUCCUACAGAGUAUGUGUACCAGCUUGUCUGGGUUUUGAUUGACAGGGGAACGUUUUCCUGACUGGCAAAUAUUUGUGUUCCCGAGUUGGCUGUGCUUCGCUUCCUGGUUUGCACAGUCUCUAAAAGAGCAAAGGCAGUAUACAGAGAGGAUGGCGAUAGGAGACAGACAGGAGGCUGGUAGGAGAACAGCUAGCUCCAUGCCUCUUCCUGUAAGACGGGGACAGUGCUGCUGAGUGGCCGGACACUGGGCUUCUGGGGCAGAGGAUGAGGGUACCUGCGCCCUGCAGGAUGCUUCAACGUGUCUCUCUGGCAGAGAGUUUAUAACACCCAAAAGCAGGUGUGACCAACUUCUGGCAGCAGAUACACAGAGGGAGAAAGGGUGGCUACCCCACACCAAGGGUAAGACUCAACCCAAGCAGCUACUCCAAUAGGGCACAGAUAAAACUCCAAAGAUGAUACCUGCUGGGCACAGGCCUCCAAUCCCAGCACACUGGAGGUGCUGCUGCUGGUGUGUGUGUGUGUGUCCAUCCAGUCUAGUCUCCCCCAGUCCUCCCACCCUCCCACCCCUACUCAGACCCAUUGUGCAUCAAGCUGGGCUGGAGGGAGGGAAGCUUAACAUGCACAGAAGAUAAAAUUAUAAAAGCCAGACUCAGAAGUCUGGGCGGCGUGAUUCUCUUCAACCAUGCAUCCACCAACACGCAGGUCCCUAGCAACAGAAAGAUCUGCAGUUGCCCAGGAGGAAGGGGAGAUGGGAGACUGUUCGCGGUACUCACUCUUCCUUGGAGGUUCUGGGUAAAGGUUCCACCAGUCUGUGAGUUUGCCAAAGUCACUGAAUUACAUGUGCUCAAAAUCCAGUGGUUUUUGCUUUUUUUUGUUGUUGUUUUUGUUUUUCUGUUUUUUGAGACAGGGUUUUCUUCAUAUGGCCCUGGCUGUCCAGGAAUUCGAUCUGUAGAUCAGACUGGCCUUGAACUCAGAGAUCCUCCUGCCUCGGUCUCUCAAGUCUUGGGAGUAAAAGUGUAUGCCACCAUGCCAUCUGAUGGAUUCCAGGUUCCCUGAACACUAAGAAGCUCAGAGAUCAACACACACACACACACACACACACACACACACACACACACACACCGCCCCAGCACCCAGGGGAUGAACAGACAGGAAGGGCAAAGAAAGCAGAGACAGUGGGGCCAUGGUGUGUGUGUGUCGGGGAGGGGGGAAAUAACAAAAGCAGCUUGGGAGAGAACAGUUUACUUCAGCCCACAGUUCCAGGCUACAAACCCUCGCUGCAGGGAAGUCAAAGCAGGAGUGUAGACAGCUGACCUCACGCCGCUGACAAGAACAGAGAGCGGGCAUGCAGUCUGAUUAGCGCCCAGUCCGCCUUCUCCUCUUUUACAGACCAAAGCUGCACCCCUGGGAAUGGCUACACGGGCUUUGAAUCUGCAUCUGUGCAUAGCGAUGGAGAGAGUCUCCCACAGGCCUCCCUGAUGUAGCCCACCCCCCCACUGAGACCGCAACAUUGUAUCAAGAUGACAAUUGGCACUAGCAGCCUCCAGAUUACCUAAGGUGGAUACUUAGGACCCCACAUCAUUAUUUAGUGCUUUAGGGGGAAAAAAAAACCCUGCCUACCUCAGGGGGCUAGGAUGCCUCACAAGGCCAAAGGUUAGAGGUAGAGGCAUUGGUGUGAUUUUGUAUCUGGUUAAUAGAUAGGACCUUGGGGAAUCUGGCUCAGUGGCUAGAAUUCUCAGAGCCCCAGGUGCAAUACCUGGUACUGC